GCCUGCUUAGCUCAAUCGGAUAAAGCGUCAGACUAUGAAGCGCUAGUCAAAAUGAAGGCUGCAAGUUUCGACCCUCGCGGUGGGCU